AGUGAACGCUGGCGGUAGGCCUAACACAUGCAAGUCGAACGGCAGCACAGUAAGAGCUUGCUCUUACGGGUGGCGAGUGGCGGACGGGUGAGGAAUACAUCGGAAUCUACUUUUUCGUGGGGGAUAACGUAGGGAAUCUUACGCUAAUACCGCAUACGACCUACGGGUGAAAGCAGGGGAUCUUCGGACCUUGCGCGAUUGAAUGAGCCGAUGUCGGAUUAGCUAGUUGGCGGGGUAAAGGCCCACCAAGGCGACGAUCCGUAGCUGGUGUGAGAGGAUGAUCAGCCACACUGGAACUGAGACACGGUCCAGACUCCUACGGGAGGCAGCAGUGGGGAAUAUUGGACAAUGGGCGCAAGCCUGAUCCAGCCAUACCGCGUGGGUGAAGAAGGCCUUCGGGUUGUAAAGCCCUUUUGUUGGGAAAGAAAAGCAGCAGGUUAAUACCCCGCUGUUCUGACGGUACCCAAAGAAUAAGCACCGGCUAACUUCGUG
rnacentral:rRNA from 1 species